AUCUUCAGGGCAGGGUGCGAGUCCCUACCGGUGGUAUAGCCCACGAGCAUUUAUGCAUGAUUCGGUGUGAUUCCGAAGCCGACAGUACAGUCUGGAUGAAAGAAGAUG
rnacentral:ncRNA from 1 species